AAGGGGGCGGAGCAAUCCGCAACCGGCGAACGGGUGCGUAACACGUGAGCGACCUACCUCCUUGCGGGGGAUAGCCGGCCCAACGGCCGGGUAAUACCGCAUACGCUCUUUGGGGGGCAUACCCUGGAGAGGAAACUUCCGAGGCGGGGAGAGGGGCUCGCGGCCUAUCAGCUAGUUGGCGGGGUAAUGGCCCACCAAGGCGGUGACGGGUAGCUGGUCUGAGAGGAUGGCCAGCCACAUUGGGACUGAGAGACGGCCCAGACUCCUACGGGAGGCAGCAGUGGGGAAUCUUGCGCAAUGGCCGAAAGGCUGACGCAGCGACGCCGCGUGGGGGAGGAAGGGCUUCGGCUCGUAAACCCCUGUUGCCCGGGGCGAACAUCCCUUUUCGAGGGGACUGACGGUACCGGGUGAGGAAGCACCGGCUAACUCCGUGCCAGCAGCCGCGGUAAUACGGAGGGUGCGAGCGUUGUCCGGAAUCACUGGGCGUAAAGGGCGCGUAGGUGGCUUUUCAAGCGCGCGGUGAAAGCCCGGGGCUCAACCCCGGGUCGGCCGUGCGGACUGGGAGGCUUGAGCACUGUAGGGGCGGGUGGAAUUCCGGGUGUAGCGGUGGAAUGC
rnacentral:rRNA from 1 species